CAAAAGAUGGACCGGUAAACGUUGAA
rnacentral:piRNA from 1 species